GGGCCGUUAGCUCAGUUGGCUAGAGCGCAGUCCUGAUAAGACUGAGGUCCUUGGUUCGAGACCAAGACGGCCCA
rnacentral:tRNA from 1 species